rnacentral:lncRNA from 1 species
CUCUUCCCCCAAGCAGAGCUGUUAACAAUGGAGUCAGGUCUGACUGGAGCUGAAAGGAGCCUGGGCAUCAGGAAAGAGUCUAAGCCACAGGAGUGGGCUGACACCCAGGGAGGAAGGCGGAGUCAGCACUAGAGAAAGGUAAAUCCUUUUCCAUCCCUUGCAGAGAUCACAGCCAUCACC